rnacentral:lncRNA from 1 species
GCCUAUUCGGUGGAAAGAUAAGCAACCUUACAGCUAUUUCUAAGGAAUCCAAAAUGGAAGAAUGGGAGGAUAGGUGAAGCCAGACUGCACCACAACUCAGCAACUAACUAUAGGAAUGAUGGCUGGCAGAACUGGUGGCUGAAGUACCUACUGGUCCAGAACUUUGGAAAGUGUCUCUUCUGGUUCCCAUACUAUUGCUAAAUAUGUAGUAUAUUAUUUCUGCUGAUGCAGAUAUUUACUAAAUAUUUGGAAUUACUGAAGUUUGGAAUUGUACUUAUGAUUAAAAAUUGAC